rnacentral:rRNA from 1 species
CAGCCGCCGCGGUAAUACGGAGGAUCCGAGCGUUAUCCGGAAUUAUUGGGUUUAAAGGGUGCGUAGGCGGAUAGAUAAGUCAGUGGUGAAAGACGGUGGCUCAACCAUCGCAGUGCCGUUGAUACUGUUUAUCUUGAAUAUGGAUGAGGUAGGCGGAAUGUGGCAAGUAGCGGUGAAAUGCAUAGAUAUGCCACAGAACACCGAUUGCGAAGGCAGCUUACCAAGGCAAAAUUGACGCUGAGGCACGAAAGCGUGGGGAUCGAACAGGAUUAGAUACCCCGGUAGUCCCUGUCUCUUAUAC